AGCGGAACUAUGUGGUUGAAACUUGUGGUUGAAAUUUGUGGUUGAAUAGUUAGUUCUCUGUCUGCCCUGCGUGGUGUUUCAGUGAGCCCGUAUAUACGAACAUCAUAUUUACCAUUCAAGAGUUUGCAUUAAUUAAAGUACAAAGAAAUUAGUAGUUACUCUGUACUGACUAUUUUAUUCCAAUACCAGAUUCGAAUUGACACAACCCAACAGUAGCAAGAUGACGAAGAAACAAUUGAAUUCACUCUCCAUAACCCCAUACUACCAGUGCCAGCCCAUAGCCAAAUGUUUAUCUAGCUAGUUAACGUUAGCACAACAUAGCUAGCCUGCUAAGAACACUACACAGGUAGUUGUUUAAUAGAAACAAAUCCAUUGUGAUUUCAUUAUGUUUAUACUAGCUACAGGUUAGCUAGCUUAGAUGAAGUAUUUAGUGUUGUGUGCAUUGCCUCUGUGCAGUUAGCAAGCUACCAUCUGAUCGCCUACAUCGAAUAUGAAGUGUGACUGGCUGAGAUUUAAAAGGAGAAAUUCAUCCUGGGGGAAUCUGGGCUUGUUUUCAUCAUGUCUGAGGCAUUUCUAAGUCAGUGAGAUGACAUAAUUGCCCAGGAGAUACACCCUAUGCGGAUGAAUUGCUAAAUUUACAAACGGAGAAUUUUUUUCCAGUCUCUGAAAGACUACAACUCGUGUGUGGCAGUACUUCGUGCUCUGGCCCCAUCCCUCCCCAAGGCAGGCUUUUUUGAAAGGGAGGUGGACACUAACACAAUCCUUUGGGGAAAACUGAAAGAACUAACCAGACUGGGAUGGCUUUAAGUGAUUCCUCUCAUCAACACAAAUUCGCUAAUGGAGCAUUUUUUAAUGUUCUAUUAGCUACAUGGUGACAUUCAACCAUACAUGUUUCAACAGGCUCUAGCAAAGAGGAUUCGAAACAAAGAGUUGGAUUUAGCUAGAAGCUCAGUUACAGCCGAUGCCAGUACGAAGAGGGCAGAAGACAAACAUGGUGUCUAGCUAAACAAUUCGAGUGGUGCCUGGGCUUCUUCCUGGAGUGGAUUCUAGAUGGAGAGAAACAGAAUUCCUUUGCCAGUGUGUGUCAUUGUAGCAGAGCUGUAUCCCUCUCGAUGGAUUGGACAUUAUGCUGGAUUUCAAGCAGAAGAUGACUCAAGAGGAGCUGAAUGGCAGUUUGAUCAUGACAACACGCCUCCCACAGCUGUACAAGUAUGGCUCCCAAGUGACGCAGUGGUCUAAGACACUUCAUCUCAGUGCAAGAGGCGUCACUGCACUACCUGGUUAGAAUCCAGGCUGCAUCACAUCCGGCCACGAUUGGGAGUCCCAUAGGGCGGCGCGUAGGCUGUGUCAGGCCAUCAUUGUAAAUAAGAAUUUGUUCUUAACUGACUUGCCUAGUUAAAUAAAUAAUUCUCUGAACUUUACUUCACUGAUCAUACUGUAUGUUUCUUUGGGAAUGACAAUUUCAACAUGACUACCUCUCCCAUCAUCUGCUGAUCACCAGUUCUCUUAGCUACAGAUUGUUAAACCAGAUAAUGUGAUUUAACCAUUACUGGGACUUACAGGACAGGUACUGUUUGGUGUAGCAAAGAGAAUCUUCAACCAACCUUAGCGAUGCUGUCUUCGUCCUUGAUUUGUGGAAACAGGAGUCUCAUAAAAUGUCUGUCCAGUUGCAGGGGGUCAGUUUGAAUUGAGAAAAUACUCAAUUAUUAAAAAUGAAUACUUUUUCUGCUCCAUGAAGUAAUACAACAAUAUGUAUGCCACCAUCUUGUCUUUUUCAAGUCUUCUCUCAUUGAUCUAGACAGGUCUGUCAUCAUGACAUGCGACACUUUGGGGUGGACACCCACCUGUCUCGAUCAAUGAGGGUAAACUUGAAAUAUAAAACAUGGCGGGGUUGUACAAUUAUUCUGGGUUAUACUUGUAAAACCAUUGCAGUAAAAUGUUAAGACCUUUGCUUCACAGUUA